GAUGAACGCUGGCGGCGUGCUUAACACAUGCAAGUCGAACGGAAAGGCCCUGCUUUUGUGGGGUGCUCGUGUGGCGAACGGGUGAGUAACACGUGAGUAACCUGCCCUUGACUUUGGGAUAACUUCAGGAAACUGGGGCUAAUACCGGAUAGGAGCUCCUGCUGCAUGGUGGGGGUUGGAAAGUUUCGGCGGUUGGGGAUGGACUCGCGGCUUAUCAGCUUGUUGGUGAGGUAGUGGCUUACCAAGGCUUUGACGGGUAGCCGGCCUGAGAGGGUGACCGGGCACAUUGGGACUGAGAUACGGCCCAGACUCCUACGGGAGGCAGCAGUGGGGAAUAUUGCACAAUGGGCGGACGCCUGAUGCAGCGACGCCGCGUGCGGAAUGACGGCCUUCGGGUUGUAAACCGCUUUCGCAGGUGACGAGGCGUGAGUGACGGUAAUGGGUAAAGAAGCACCGGCUAACUACGUG
rnacentral:rRNA from 1 species